UCCUCUCCCUUCCUGCCAGGGUUGCUGUGCAGGGAGUGUCGGCCACAUUUGGCGCACUGUCCCAGGCCCGGGCGAAGAUGGCCAGGGGAAAUGGGGCUUAGGGAUUGCUAAGCAAACGGCACCACUGGUGGUCUACUACCGUCAGCAGAGGUUUCAAAUUAUAGUUACAAAGCCUGCCCCUACAAAGAGGUUAAAGAGAAAUUCACCCAAAUUUUCUUCCAGAACUUGUAUGGAGGAAACAUUUUUAAAAAGAAAUAGAAAGUUGUAACAAGGACAUGGGCAUUCUGGAGGUCAUGAUUCCCAUUAACAUUGCUUUUGUCCUCAGAACACAGAGAGUGCAUACAGUUUUUAUGGCAUAGCUCAGGACUUCAUUUACACUUUCAAGUCUUAUUUCUGUUUAAUAAAUGUGCUUUUGUUGCUAUUUCUUCAAAGGUGACAUUACCCGUAAUAACUUUGGGGGAGGAGGACACACAGUGUGAUUUAUCCAGGGACAGCCACCCCUUUAGGAAUGCCACUUUGUGGUGGUCCUUGCCUGAUAAAUUUUUCUCUUUGUCCUCCCGGU